GUGAGGCAGCAGUGGGUAAUUUAUAUCAAUGGGGGAAAGCAUGAUCCAUCCAUCCAGCGUGUGCGAUGAAGGCCUUCGGGUUGUAAAGCACUUUUGGCAGGAAAGAAACGUCAUGGGUUAAUACCCCGUGAAACUGACGGUCCCUGCAGAACAAGCACCGGCUAACUACGUGCCAGCAGCCGCGGUAAUACGUAGGGUGCAAGCGUUAAUCGGAAUUACUGGGCGUAAAGCGUGCGCAGCCGGUUCGGAAAGAAAGAUGUGAAAUCCCAGAGCUUAACUUUGAAACUGCAUUUUUAACUACCGGGCUAGAGUGUGUCAGAGGGAGGUGGAAUUCCGCGUGUAGCAGUGAAAUGCGUAGAUAUGCGGAGGAACACCGAUGGCGAAGGCAGCCUCCUGGGAUAACACUGACGCUCAUGCACGAAAGCGUGGGGAGCAAACAGGAUUAGAUACCCUGGUAGUCCACGCCCUAAACGAUGUCAACUAGCUGUUGGGGCGUUCGGCCCUUGGUAGCGCAGGUAACGCGUGAAGUUGCCCGCCUGGGGAGUACGGUCGCAAGAUUAAAAUUCAAAGGAAUGAGGG
rnacentral:rRNA from 1 species